rnacentral:rRNA from 1 species
UGGAACUGCAGAGAUGCGAGUGUGUCUUCGGGAACCGAGAGACAGGUGCUGCAUGGCUGUCGUCAGCUCGUGUCGUGAGAUGUUGGGUUAAGUCCCGUAACGAGCGCAACCCUUGUCCCUAGUUACCAUCACUUCGGGUGGGGACUCUAGGGAGACCGCCGGUGAUAAACCGGAGGAAGGUGGGGAUGACGUCAAGUCGUCAUGGUCUUUAUGGGUAGGGCUACACACGUGCUACAAUGGGCAGUACAGAGGGCAGCGAAGCCGCGAGGUGAAGCAAAUCUCAUAAAACUGCUCGUAGUCCGGAUUGAAGUCUGCAACUCGACUUCAUGAAGUUGGAAUCGCUAGUAAUCGCGAAUCAGCAUGUCGCGGUGAAUACGUUCUCGGGCCUUGUACACACCGCCCGUCACACCAUGGGAGUUGGUUGCACCAGAAGUAAG